GAUGAACGCUAGCGGCAGGCUUAACACAUGCAAGUCGAGGGGUAAAGGUAGCUUGCUACUUUGAGACCGGCGCACGGGUGCGUAACGCGUAUGCAACCUACCUUGAACAGGGGAAUAGCCCAGAGAAAUUUGGAUUAAUGCCCCAUGGUAUUUUGAGAUGGCAUCAUCUUAUUAUUAAAGAUUUAUCGGUUCAAGAUGGGCAUGCGUCCCAUUAGUUUGUUGGAGAGGGAACGGCUCACCAAGACUACGAUGGGUAGGGGGCCUGAGAGGGUUAUCCCCCACACUGGUACUGAGACACGGACCAGACUCCUACGGGAGGCAGCAGUGAGGAAUAUUGGUCAAUGGGCGAAAGCCUGAACCAGCCAUGCCGCGUGCAGGAUGAAGGCUCUAUGAGUCGUAAACUGCUUUUAUACAGGAAGAAACCACCCUACGUGUAGGGUGCUGACGGUACCGUAUGAAUAAGCAUCGGCUAACUCCGUGCCAGCAGCCGCGGUAAUACGGAGGAUGCAAGCGUUAUCCGGAUUCAUUAGGUUUAAAGGGUGCGUAGGCGGGAUAGUAAGUCAGUGGUGAAAUCCAACAGCUUAACUGUUGAACUGCCUUUGAUACUGUUACUCUUGAAUUAUAUGGAAGUAGAUAGAAUGUGUAGUGUAGCGGUGAAAUGCUUAGAGAUUACACAGAAUACCGAUUGCGAAGGCAGUCUACUACGUAUAUAUUGACGCUAAUGGACGAAAGCGUGGGGAGCGAACAGGAUUAGAUACCCUGGUAGUCCACGCCGUAAACGAUGGACACUAGUUGUUCGAUUCUUUCAGUGUGACUAAGCGAACGUGAUACGUGUCCCACCUGGGGAGUACGAACGCAAGUUUGAAACUCAAAGGAAUUGACGGGGGCCCGCACAAGCGGUGGAGCAUGUGGUUUAAUUCGAUGAUACGCGAGGAACCUUACCAGGGCUUAAAUGUAAGUUGCAUGAUUAGAGAUAGAUCUUUCUUCGGACUACUUACAAGGUGCUGCAUGGUUGUCGUCAGCUCGUGCCGUGAGGUGUCAGGUUAAGUCCUAUAACGAGCGCAACCCCUGUUGUUAGUUGCCAGCGAGUCAAGUCGGGAACUCUAACAAGACUGCCAGUGCAAACUGUGAGGCAGGUGGGGAUGACGUCAAAUCAUCACGGCCCUUACGUCCUGGCCUACACACGUGCUACAAUGGUAGGUACAGAGAGCAGCCACUGGGCGACCAGGAGCGAAUCUAUAAAACCUAUCACAGUUCGGAUCGGAGUCUGCAACUCGACUCCGUGAAGCUGGAAUCGCUAGUAAUCGGAUAUCAGCCAUGAUCCGGUGAAUACGUUCCCGGGCCUUGUACACACCGCCCGUCAAGCCAUGGAAGUUGGAAGUGCCUGAAGUCCGUCACCGCAAGGAGCGGCCUAGGGUAAAGUCGAUAACUAGGGCUAAGUCGUAACAAGGUAGCCGUACCGGAAGG
rnacentral:rRNA from 1 species